rnacentral:rRNA from 1 species
GACGUAGGGCGCGAGCGUUGUCCGGAUUUAUUGGGCGUAAAGAGCUCGUAGGCGGCUUGUCGCGUCGACUGUGAAAACCCGUGGCUCAACCAUGUGGUCUGCAGUCGAUACGGGCAGGCUAGAAUUCGGUAGGGGAGACUGGCAAUUCCUGGUGUAGCGGUGAAAUGCGCAGAGUAUCAGGAGGAACACCGGUGGCGAAGGCGGGUCUCUGGGCCGAUAUUGACGCUGAGGAGCGAAAGCGUGGGGAGCGACAGG